rnacentral:RNase_P_RNA from 4 species
CGUGGUAAGCGGAUGGCCGCUCUUCUUAGCUUUAGUUAAGCAGAGAGGAAAGUCCGGACUCUUUGGAUUGACGAUUGCCGAUUUUCGAUUUUCGAAGACGGCGUAUCUGAAAUUCAAAACGGCAGUCGCUAACGGCGACCGAGGGAAACCUUAGGGAAAGUGCCACAGAGACCAUACUACCCCGAAAAGAAAGCUUUGCUUUCCUCGGGGGAAGAGUGAAAAGUCGCUUGGUGUCUUUUGUCCUCGAGUCAAAAGGCUACAAGCUUCGCUUCCGCGCGAGCGGAAUGCGCGGUAAACCCUGCCUGGAGCAAGAACAAACUCAUUCCGAGAAUUCGGGGUGAAGAUAAGUGGUUCGCAUGAGGUCGUUGGUAACAACGAUCCUAGAUAAAUGGCCAUCGUCCGCCGAUUCGGCGGAUACAGAAUCCGGCUUAUAGCUUGCCCCGAUAU